AUAUCAAUAAGCGGAGGAAAAGAAACUAACAAGGAUUCCCCUAGUAACUGCGAGUGAAGCGGGAAAAGCUCAAAUUUAAAAUCUGGCGUUCUUUCGGACGUCCGAGUUGUAAUCUAGAGAAGCGUCUUCCGCGCCGGACCGUGUACAAGUCUCUUGGAAUGGAGCGUCGUAGAGGGUGACAAUCCCGUCUUUGACACGGACCGCCGGUGCUUUUGUGAUGCGCUCUCGAAGAGUCGAGUUGUUUGGGAAUGCAGCUCAAAACGGGUGGUAAAUUCCAUCUAAAGCUAAAUACAGGCGAGAGACCGAUAGCGAACAAGUACCGUGAGGGAAAGAUGAAAAGAACUUUGAAAAGAGAGUUAAACAGUAC
rnacentral:rRNA from 1 species